rnacentral:tRNA from 1 species
GCGAGAGUGGCGAAACUGGCAGACGCGCUGGACCUAGGAUCCAGAGGGCGCAAGCCCGUGGGGGUUCGACUCCCCCCUCUCGCACCA